CGGCCCGCAUAUGUGAGGUUGCCGGCUCGUUUUGUUCAAUACGUUGGCCCAAACCCCAGCGGUCAUUCUCCUUCCAUUCACCACCGCUCGCUCGUCUUUCUUGCCCGCUCCGCUGCCGCUCUCUCGCCUCGUGUGUGCGCUCCCUCACCGGAACCCGGCGUUCUGCCGCCGUGAGGAUGGCCGGACCUGGGUGCGCCGGCCAGAGCCGGCCUUCCUCCCCCUCCGGGCCUUGGUCUCCUACUCCCUCUGGUUCGGAGGAGGUCAGUUCGCCGGCGCCGACGGCAGAGCAGACCGACCCCUUCGAGUGCUGCUUCGCAAACCCGUGCCCCCGCUGCGCCUUCUACCAGCGCAGGUGGAGGACGACAUGCGCAGGGAGGGAAUCGAGCAUGGCCUCGGACGGGGCCGGAGGAGGGCCUGCGGCCGCUGGUUCUCCUUCUAGGAGGUCCACGGGCCAGCGCGGUGGAUCUGCUCGCGGUGGCUCUUCCGCGCGUGGGGCGGAUUCCGGCAACUCUGCAAGCAACAACUCAUCCCCGAACAAGUUGAGACCAAACACUCCGGUGAGUUUGGCCUAAGCAAAGCUAAUUCAAUGUUUUCAUUCUUUCAUGCUUUAGUUGUGUAAGUUAUUGUAAAUCACGCAGUACAAAUUGAGUCAGAUUUCAGUACUUCGAAGAAUACUCGUAUCUCUAUUUCGUAGAGUUUGUUUUGUUCAAGGAUUCAAUGGAUUUGGUGUAAAGUCUGAAUCUUUGAUUGGCAUCGUCAUUGAGUUCUGUACCUGAAGGAAUGGAGGAUUCUACUUGGAGGGUGUUGUUAAUGAAUCCUUGGUGCUUUGCCGCCAUGGUUUGCAUCCCUGUCGCCUCUUUGGCAAACACAUUGGGAGGCGCUACCUGGGAUGCAAUCCAGAGGACAAGUCCAAGAGGUGUGACUUUGCGCUAUGGGUUGAGACAUGGUUGGCCAAUUCAUGGAGAAGGCUGACUGCAACAUGGUGGACAAGAUGACAGAGCAGGCACUAAAGAAUGAGGUCAAACAACAAAAGGAGGCCCUGGAAGCUGAGAAGGAAGUAUGGGAAAUAGAGAAGCACGAGCUGAUUAUGGAGAAAGAUCAGCUAAGAGCUAGGUGGAGGUUCUCACAAUCAUGCUGCAGCGCCCUUCAAUCAAUUGUCAAGAACGAACUAGAGGAGAAGAAGACGGUUUGGAUAGUUGUUGUUUGCCUGAUUGGAACUCUGGUGGCCAUGCUGUUUGGUGUUAUCCUCGAGAUGAAAUGAAUGUAGGGAAUAUGAAGUUCAUUUUGCAGCUAUCUGAUGCUGGCUAGUUCAGGGCUUUAGGAGUGGAUGUGUUAUUACCUCAGUGGCUUUCUGUGUACUAGUGUAGUUCAUGGGAUAUGGGUUACUUUAGUUGGAGCUGGCAAUGAUGUGAACUUGGCAAGGUCACAAAACUUGAUGUUCCAUUUUGUGUCUGUCAACCGGCAGAUGGAUUAACAUGGUUGUUGUGCUUCUGCAAAAUGACAAGA